CCUACGGGUGGCAGCAGUGAGGAAUAUUGGUCAAUGGACGCAAGUCUGAACCAGCCAUGCCGCGUGCAGGAAGACGGCUCUAUGAGUUGUAAACUGCUUUUAAGGGGGAAGAGCAGAAGACGGUACCCCUUGAAUAAGCCACGGCUAACUACGUGCCAGCAGCCGCGGUAAUACGUAGGUGGCAAGCGUUGUCCGGAUUUACUGGGUGUAAAGGGCGUGCAGCCGGAGAGACAAGUCAGAUGUGAAAUCCACGGGCUCAACCCGUGAACUGCAUUUGAAACUGUUUCCCUUGAGUGUCGGAGAGGUAAUCGGAAUUCCUGGUGUAGCGGUGAAAUGCGUAGAUAUAAGGAAGAACACCAGUGGCGAAGGCGGAUUACUGGACGAUAACUGACGGUGAGGCGCGAAAGCGUGGGGAGCAAACAGGAUUAGAUACCCUUGUAGUC
rnacentral:rRNA from 1 species